rnacentral:tRNA from 1 species
GGGUGUAUAGCUCAGUGGUAGAGCAGAGGAACUUCAAAUCCUUUUGCAUGAGUUCGAUUCUCAUUGCACCCU